rnacentral:ncRNA from 2 species
AUGGUCGACGCGGGAGAGCCGGGCGUUUUCGAACGUAUCGGCACCGAAGGAGCAAUCCUCCCCGACAAUCUCUCAGGUAUAUGUACCGCGUCGAGCUG